AUGAAACAGUGUAACUCACUCACAGUAAAUCAGCAGUGAAUCAGCAGUAUAGGAUAAUACAAACCUAUCUAAUAAAUCUAAUGAUUUUCACAUUCUUUUAACUCAGAAGUAUGAUGUGGCCUACAGCAGUAUCAUGGUUCACUCAUUUUGAUUAUAGGUAUAAUGUAAUAUAUGACAGCAUAAUAAUCUCACAACUGCUACAAGCACAUUUGCCUUUCUUAACACACGCGAAAGAAAGGCAACUGUUGAGAAAAUGCUUUAUUGGGUGAGACAGGCCCAGAGGCCUUGCAUGCAAGCUACUAAUACACAUACAUGCAAUGAAGAACAGCUUGCACUACAGCACACACUAUACAUGCGCCUAUAUCUCUCAUUAGUGUUAAAACAGGGAAAACUUAAUAGUUUUGUUAUCAAAUGCUGAAGUUUAUCCACUACUAACAAAUAAACUCUCUGGGUUGCAGGACAACAACUUCAAAAAGAACGACACUGGUAUGACCAACCAGUGAUGAAACAACAAAUUUAGUGGUUAAGAGUCAAAUGGCUGCUUUGCCGGUCCUGAAAGCCGAAGCUGACCUGGACUCCUGCUCUCCCCUCUACCAUCUCUGACCCUGACCCUGACCAAAUGCUGCAGCAGCUGGACCCAUAACAACAAUCUAAAAAUGUCAACAGUGCUACAGGAAAGCGAUCUCAUGCAGCAGAGACGGAGAGCGUUAAAUCCAAGGCCCGUUUCACUACACGGGGGAGAUUUACAGACAGCUUCAGCUGACAGAGCUGUGACGAGACGCCCAUUAAGCCCGAAUGAAAAGUAAGGCCGAGAAAAAGAAUGCUGACCUUGAUAACUCUGCAUUAACACUGUACAGGACAGUGAUGGACCAACACGGAUGAUCGGGCAGCAGAAGAAAGGGCGUGCCAGAGACAGGAGGAGCAACUGAGGUCAAAAGGCACCUCAGAAUGGACAAAACACAGAAGAAGAUGCAGGUUUCACCUGCGGUGAGCAUGGACACUGGAGAAAGGACUGCCCCAAUUGGGGCCAGGACCAGGACAGACUGAACUAUGAGCACCUAAACUUGGUUUAUAUCUGACCCAGAUAGACUGCAGGUCAUAACUUCUUACCUGAAGUUCAGUUCAACUGACACUCGGACCGCCCCGCCUCGGGUCGCUCCUCCUCCUGCCUCCCCUUUCUCUCAUCCACCUGCCAGCCUCCACCACUUGCUAAUGUUACUGAAUCUGUGGAAGCUCCGCCAUAGCCACCACCAAACAACUGAGUUAUUUUUACACACCGGCCAGCAUCUGGCCAAUCCACCACCUUUCAUUGUUUAUACUGUUACAAAAAAAAAAAAAAAAAAUCAUCGGCCCAUAAAAACAAAAAAUCACCAUCGGCCCACCGAGUAAAUGCCCGGUAUGCCUGAUGGCCAGUGCAGGUAUGGUCGUGCCAUCAGUUAACCCUUCGCGUGCCACAGCUGGUACGCGUGCCUAGGGUUGCCGACCCCUGGCCUAAAGUCUUAAAAUGCCACAGUUUCACUCACCGAAACUGAAUCUCACAUGUCCCUAAUAAAUCACACAGCAAGCCAUAUUAUGUUAUCUGUCAAAUGACUCCAUGAAAAAUUAUCUAAAAAGGCAAAAACACCAUUAAAAAAUCUAGUUCUGGCAGCCAGCUAUCAGAUAGAGCUUUGUGCAUCAGUACACCUGUACACCUCAAAGCAGCCACACUCCCAGCAUGAUUAUGCACCACUUCUACAACAAUUUUAAACAUCCUUUGUACACCUUAAUUCUUAAUAUGUAGUGUACAGGAUUCACUUUGCUCUGAAGCGAAAAAGCAGUUUCAGUUGGACUUAAUCUUCUUUAACUGAUGCCAACACAGCAAGAAAGUAAGCAGUUUAACUUCACUCUCUUGGAGGGGGUUAGUGCAUCAGUAUGCUUCACACAAAGUACUUGUCAAAUUGCGUAACAUUGCCUAAAACCUCCAGUGCAAAAUGGUUUUAAUUGGCUUGUAGAUUUACUUUCUCAAAAGAAUAGUGGUGUAAAUUACUCAAGCUGCUAAAUCUUUACCACUGUAACACCGUUUACCCAUGUGUGAGUGCACAUCCAAAGCUGGAGAAAACGAGACAGGAGGAAACUCAGAGCAUGUGCACGUAGGCAGCGCUGUUUAACUGCUUUGUGUGUGUGCGUGCGUCCUUGUGCAAGUGCGUGCAUGUGUGUGAUUUUAUAUAACACUUAGUUGCCUAUUCAGCAGCAAGAAUUAUUGGUUCUCAGCCAGACUGCCUCCUCCACACUCUCAGUUCCUUGCAGAUCUUAUCUUUCUUUUCACGUUGCAGUAAGACAAAUAAUUUUCACUUUCACUCGCAUCUAUGUGCCCUAAGCUUGUCAUGUGCCGUUUUCCAUAUGCCUUUGGCUUGCAA
ensembl:lncRNA